rnacentral:tRNA from 1 species
GCAUCUAAGGCUGAAUGGUCAAAGCGCCCAACUCAUAAUGGGGAAGUCACGGGUUCAAUUCCUGCUGGAUGCA